GAUGAACGCUGGCGGCGUGCCUAAUACAUGCAAGUCGAGCGAAUGGAUUAAGAGCUCGCUCUUAUGAAGUUAGCGGCGGACGGGUGAGUAACACGUGGGUAACCUGCCCAUAAGACUGGGAUAACUCCGGGAAACCGGGGCUAAUACCGGAUAACAUUUUGAACCGCAUGGUUCGAAAUUGAAAGGCGGCUUCGGCUGUCACUUAUGGAUGGACCCGCGUCGCCAUUAGCUAGUUGGUGAGGUAACGGCUCACCAAGGCAACGAUGCGUAGCCGGCCUGAGAGGGUGAUCGGCCACACUGGGACUGAGACACGGCCCAGACUCCUACGGGAGGCAGCAGUAGGGAAUCUUCCGCAAUGGACGAAAGUCUGACGGAGCAACGCCGCGUGAGUGAGGAAGGCUUUCGGGUCGUAAAACUCUGUUGUUAGGGAAGAACAAGUGCUAGUUGAAUAAGCUGGCACCUUGACGGUACCUAACCAGAAAGCCACGGCUAACUACGUGCCAGCCGCCGCAGUAA
rnacentral:rRNA from 1 species